GAUGAAGAACGCAGCGAAAUGCGAUAAGUAAUGUGAAUUGCAGAAUUCAGUGAAUCAUCGAAUCUUUGAACGCACAUUGCGCCCCCUGGUAUUCCGGGGGGCAUGCCUGUCCGAGCGUCAUUACAACCCUCAAGCUCAGCUUGGUAAUGGGCCCCGCCGACCCGGCGGGCCCUAAAGUCAGUGGCGGUGCCGUCCGGCUCCGAGCGUAGUAAUUCUUCUCGCUCUGGAGGUCCGGUCGUGUGCUCGCCAGCAACCCCCAAUUUUUUUCAGGUUGACCUCGGAUCAGGUAGGGAUACCCGCUGAACUUAAGCAUAUCAAUAAGCGGAGGA
rnacentral:misc_RNA from 1 species